rnacentral:rRNA from 1 species
ACUUAAGCAUAUCAAUAAGCGGAGGAAAAGAAACUAACAAGGAUUCCCCUAGUAACGGCGAGUGAAGAGGGAAAAGCUCAAAUUUAAAAGCUGUUGUCUUUCAGGCAACCGCAUUGUAAUCUCAAGAAGUGUUUUCGAUUGUAGCCUGCGUAUAAGUACCUUGGAAUAGGUUGGCAUAGAGGGUGAAACUCCCGUCUUUGAUGCAGAUUACUAUGAUCAUGUGAUACACUUUCUAAGAGUCGAGUUGUUUGGGAAUGCAGCUCAAAAUGGGUGGUAAAUUCCAUCUAAAGCUAAAUAUUGGCCUGAGACCGAUAGCGAACAAGUACCGUGAGGGAAAGAUGAAAAGCACUUUGGAAAGAGAGUCAAACAGAACGUGAAAUUGCUGAAAGGGAAGCGUUUGAAGUUAGUCUGAUAGGAGUUGUUCAAUUGUUACUUUGGUUUCAAUGUAUGCAACUUUUUAUCGGUCAACAUCAAUUUUGAUUGAUGGAUAAAGGUAAUAGGAAUGUGGCUACAAUUUGUAGUGUUAUAGCCUAUUAUCAUAAACAUUGAUUGAGAUUGAGGACGGCAGUGUACCUUUUAGGAAGGUGUUCGCACCUAUUACACUAAGGAUGUUGACAAAAUAGCUUUAAGCGACCCGUCUUGAAACACGGACCAAGGAGUCUAACAUAUCUGCGAGUAUUUGAGUGACAAACUCGAAUGCGUAAUGAAAGUGAAUGUAGGUGUGAAGCGUAAGCUGCAACAUCGACCGAUCUGGAAUUUUUAUAAUGAUGGAUUUGAGUAAGAGCAUAUAUGUUGGGACCCGAAAGAUGGUGAACUAUGCCUGAAUAGGGUGAAGCCAGAGGAAACUCUGGUGGAGGCUCGUAGCGGUUCUGACGUGCAAAUCGAUCGUCAAAUUUGGGUAUAGGGGCGAAAGACUAAUCGAACCAUCUAGUAGCUGGUUCCUGCCGAAGUUUCCCUCAGGAUAGCAGACACUUGUAUCAGUUUUAUGUGGUAAAGCGAAUGAUUAGAGGCCUAGGGGAUGAAACAUCCUUUACCUAUUCUCAAACUUUAAAUAUGUAAGAGGCUCUUGUUACUUUAUUGAACUUGAGCAACGAAUGAAAGUGUCUAGUGGGCCAUUUUUGGUAAGCAGAACUGGCGAUGCGGGAUGAACCGAUCGUGGGGUUAAGGUGCCGGAAUAUACGCUCAUCAGACACCACAAAAGGUGUUAGUUCAUCUAGACAGCAGGACGGUGGCCAUGGAAGUCGGAAUCCGCUAAGGAGUGUGUAACAACUCACCUGCCGAAUGAACUAGCCCUGAAAAUGGAUGGCGCUUAAGCGUAUUACCCAUACCCCACCGUUAAUGAUUUUAGUGAUUCAUUAACGAGUAGGCAGGCGUGGAGAUUGUAUAGAAGCUUUGACAGUGAUGUUGAGUGGAACAGUCUCUAGUGCAGAUCUUG